rnacentral:rRNA from 1 species
GAUGAACGCUGGCGGCGUGCUUAACACAUGCAAGUCGAACGGAAAGGCCCAAGCUUGCUUGGGUACUCGAGUGGCGAACGGGUGAGUAACACGUGGGUGAUCUGCCCUGCACUUCGGGAUAAGCCUGGGAAACUGGGUCUAAUACCGGAUAGGACGAUGGUUUGGAUGCCAUUGUGGAAAGUUUUUUCGGUGUGGGAUGAGCUCGCGGCCUAUCAGCUUGUUGGUGGGGUAAUGGCCUACCAAGGCGUCGACGGGUAGCCGGCCUGAGAGGGUGUACGGCCACAUUGGGACGGAGAUACGGCCCAGACUCCUACGGGAGGCAGCAAUGGGGAAUAUUGCACAAUGGGCGCAAGCCUGAUGCAGCGACGCCGCGUGGGGGAUGACGGCCUUCGGGUUGUAAACUCCUUUCGCUAGGGACGAAGCGUUUUUGUGACGGUACCUGGAGAAGAAGCACCGGCUAACUACGUG